rnacentral:rRNA from 1 species
GUGGUUUGUUAAGUUGGUGGUUUAAUCUCUGGGCUCAACCCAGAGUCAGCCUCCAAAACUGGCGAACUUGAGUACGAUAGGGGAUAGCGGAAUUCUCGGUGUAGCGGUGGAAUGCGUAGAUAUCGAGAGGAACACCAAUGGCGAAGGCAGCUAUCUGGAUCGUAACUGACACUCAUGAGCGAAAGUGCGGGGAGCAAACAGGAUUAGAUACCCUGGUAGUCCGCACCGUAAACGUUGUAUACUAGUUGUUGGCGGUUUCAACGCCGUCAGUGACGACGCUAACGCAUUAAGUAUACCGCCUGGGGAGUAUGCUCGCAAGGGUGAAACUCAAAGAAAUUGACGGGGGCCCGCACAAGCGGUGGAGCAUGUGGUUUAAUUCGACGAUACGCGAGAAACCUUACCUGGGUUUGACAUGGAUUUGACUGGGGUAGAGAUACCCCUUCCCGCAAGGGCAGAUUCACAGGUGUUGCAUGGUCGUCGUCAGCUCGUGUUGUGAGAUGUUGGGUUAAGUCCCGCAACGAGCGCAACCCUUAUCUUCUGUUACCAUCAUUAAGUUGGGGACUCUGAAGAAACCGCCGGUGACAAACCGGAGGAAGGUGGGGAUGACGUCAGAUCAGCAUGGCCCUUAUAUCCAGGGCUACACACGUGCUACAAUGGCCAGUACAGAGGGACGCAAAGCCGCGAGGUGGAGCAAAUCCCACAAAGCUGGUCUCAGUUCAGAUUGCAGUCUGCAACUCGACUGCAUGAAGUCGGAAUCGCUAGUAAUCG